rnacentral:rRNA from 1 species
GAUGAACGCUGGCGGCGUGCUUAACACAUGCAAGUCGAACGAUGAAGCCCAGCUUGCUGGGUGGAUUAGUGGCGAACGGGUGAGUAACACGUGAGUAACCUGCCCUUAACUCUGGGAUAAGCCUGGGAAACUGGGUCUAAUACCGGAUAGGAGCGUCCACCGCAUGGGGGGUGUUGGAAAGAUUUAUCGGUUUUGGAUGGACUCGCGGCCUAUCAGCUUGUUGGUGAGGUAAUGGCUCACCAAGGCGACGACGGGUAGCCGGCCUGAGAGGGUGACCGGCCACACUGGGACUGAGACACGGCCCAGACUCCUACGGGAGGCAGCAGUGGGGAAUAUUGCACAAUGGGCGAAAGCCUGAUGCAGCGACGCCGCGUGAGGGAUGACGGCCUUCGGGUUGUAAACCUCUUUCAGUAGGGAAGAAGCGAAAGUGACGGUACCUGCAGAAGAAGCACCGGCUAACUACGUG